rnacentral:rRNA from 1 species
CGGUAGCACAGAGAGCUUGCUCUCGGGUGACGAGUGGCGGACGGGUGAGUAAUGUCUGGGAAACUGCCUGAUGGAGGGGGAUAACUACUGGAAACGGUAGCUAAUACCGCAUAACGUCGCAAGACCAAAGAGGGGGACCUUCGGGCCUCUUGCCAUCAGAUGUGCCCAGAUGGGAUUAGCUAGUAGGUGGGGUAACGGCUCACCUAGGCGACGAUCCCUAGCUGGUCUGAGAGGAUGACCAGCCACACUGGAACUGAGACACGGUCCAGACUCCUACGGGAGGCAGCAGUGGGGAAUAUUGCACAAUGGGCGCAAGCCUGAUGCAGCCAUGCCGCGUGUAUGAAGAAGGCCUUCGGGUUGUAAAGUACUUUCAGCGGGGAGGAAGGUGUUGUGGUUAAUAACCGCA